UCCUUACUACUGCUGUGUGUUCUUCUCAAUUCCUUGUUCAGGACACAAACAGCUACCUUUAUGGGAAAACCCAGCAUUUGAAGAGAAACUGCCUCACUAGAGCUGCCCAGGUGUCCACAGCUGUCCUGUUCCUCAUGCAGCUCUUCUUUCUUCACCUCAAGUUUUCAGCUCCAGAAAAGAUGAAGACUGGAAAAUCAUAAACAUUUUCAAAAGUCAGUGGCAAAAGAACAAAGAGCAAAAGACCACAGAGGGGAGAGAAAAUAAUAAAUCCAAAACAGACU